rnacentral:rRNA from 1 species
UACGUAGGGGGCAAGCGUUGUCCGGAUUUAUUGGGCGUAAAGAGCGUGUAGGCGGCCAGACAGGUCAGCUGUGAAAACUCGAGGCUCAACCUCGAGACGUCGGUUGAAACCGUCUGGCUAGAGUCCGGAAGAGGAGAGUGGAAUUCCCGGUGUAGCGGUGAAAUGCGCAGAUAUCGGGAAGAACACCCGUGGCGAAGGCGGCUCUCUGGGACGGGACUGACGCUGAGACGCGAAAGCGUGGGGAGCGAACAGG